UGCCAACAGAUGCGAAAGAAACUUAAAAAAGAAUAACAUGAAAUUUUUUGCUUUCAUGCUGUUUGCAUGUUUCAUUGCUGGGAAUGUUCAGAGCUUUGAUGGACGAUGUUAUAAGAAACCUUUAUUGGGAAAUAUCUGCAGAGCCGGCACUACCCAGUGGUAUUAUCAGAUAAAUCAGAACAGGUGCAAGGAGUUCCUUUGGGGUGGAUGUCGCUUGACCAUUGUCGAAAACCGCUUUGAUACGAGGGAAGAAUGCGCAGACAGCUGCUUAAUAUAAGUCUAUAUAAUAAAAUUAAAACUAUGUUUAUUUUCGAGAGCUUAAUCAAGCAAAUAAUGUGUUAUUUAGUUCCAGUUGAAGUGAAGUCAAAAUAAUACUGUCCGAGCAGUUUGAGAAGAAACUUCUUUGGGCAAAAACAUGAAACUCACCGCUUUGUUUCUUUUUGCUAGUUGCAUUGCUGGCGUUGCCCUGGGCGUAACUGAUUAUCGCUGCUUAGAAAAACCAGAGAAAUCUGGUGAGUGCAGGGCAAGUAUACCCCGUUGGUCCUACUCUGGAAAACGAUGCAAACUAUUUAUGUGGGGUGGCUGCGGUGAUCGCAAGGAUAAUCGCUUUAAAACUGAGAUAGAGUGCAUAAACAACUGUAUACAAGAUCUUGACUAAGUUUCAAUUCGGAAAAUAAUAAAAUUAUGUAGUCAUACAAAUAAUAUGAUAUACUCUGUAUUAAGUUUUUCAAUCUUUUUACAGAUUCAAUAAUCGAUUGGAUUCCUUAUGAUUUCCUACUAUGCCGCACUCUGGUCAGAUCUUAAGAUUGUUAGGUUUCGUUUUGAGAAACAUUUUAAGAGAGCACGUAAAGAUUUGGGUUUCAAAAAUAUUGAAAGUAUUCAUUUGAGAGUGUUUAUCAAUUUUCGCCUAAUCCAUUCCGACUUUGGUGGACAUAAAUCUCGAAGAUAUAAUCGAUAAAAAUCCGAGAUAUCUAUUACAUUUUUCACAAAAAAAAGUUUGACAUAUGUCAGCUCUGGCUAAGCUAAGGGGUAUCACCUAGUCGACUUCUGGCGCAUUUUACAAUAAAAACAGAAAUAAUGUUUUCGUGAAUUUAAACAGGCAAAAGAUGUGUUAUUUAGUUCCAGUUGAAUUUAUGUAAGCAAGGCAUUCAAAACAUUCCAAACUGAACCGAUCAGUUUAUUUAGACACAUCUUUGAAUGAAAACAUGAAAGUUGCUGCAUUGAUUUUCCUUGUAGGCUGCACUAUUGGCACUGUCUUGGGUGAAGUCGAUGAUCGGUGCGUAGCAGCACCAGGACUAAAAGGUCCCUGCGCUGAAAAGUUUCUUCGUUGGGCCUACUAUCUACAUGGAAAACUGUGCAAGCUCUUUAUUUGGGGUGGAUGUGGUGAACACGGCGAAAAUCGCUUUAACAGUGAAUGGGAGUGCACCAACACCUGUAUAUCAGGACGUUAAUGAAGUUCCUAGCUCAAAAAUUAGGCAAUUCCGCAAAUAGUAAUACUAUUAUACACGUUCACUUAUGUUUUUUUUUUUUCUGGUAAAAUCAUUUCGCUUAUAGAAAAACAGAAAUACUGUACUAAAAUAGCAGUAUACAAAUAUCACAGCAUACAACAAUGUAUAUAACAGGGUUCCACCUAUUUGCCACAUUGCCGAGCGGGUUGAUUAUAAAUCAAUCGGUCAGUCAACCAGCACUGACAGAUAUUCCUACUUAACACAGCAAACAGGGUAUCUGACCAGACUCGACUCAUGUAUAUAUUUUCAAUCAUCACGCAUUUUUCCUGAUUUCCAUUUGGUUUCAGCUUCACUUUAAUCGUAAACAAAUUUCAAGGGUUUUGAAAUAUAAUUGAGAAUGUUUUAGUUCCGGUUGCAUUUGUGAAUAAAUAGGGCGCUAAUUACUUAGGAUACGACAGUCCGUUUUGAAACUACAUUAAGGGGAAAACAUGAAACUCGCUGAAUUAAUUGUCUUUACAAGCUGCAUUGUUGGCAUUGCACUGGGAUUAAAAGAUGAACCUUGCUUACGAGCAAGAUGCUGAAGAACAACAGUGCAAGAUGUUUCUAUAUGGUGGUUGUGGCUUUCGAGGAGCAGUGAUUUAACAUGUAUAAAGGCAAAUUGCAAGAACCCAAAAAUGUUCACAAAAAUAAUAAAUAAAUUGUAUAUUUAUAUACUACCUGGCAUA